rnacentral:rRNA from 1 species
CCUACGGGAGGCAGCAGUGAGGAAUAUUGGUCAAUGGGCGCGAGCCUGAACCAGCCAAGUCGCGUGAGGGAAGACGGCCCUACGGGCUGGAAACCUUUUUUGUCAGGGAGCCAGGUGUAGGUCGGGACCUGCUGUGAGCGUAACUGUAGAAAACGCAUCGGCCAACUCUGUGCCAGCAGCCGCGGUAAUCCGGAGGAUGCGAGCGUUAUACGGAUUUAUUGGGGUUAAGGGGUGCGCAGGCGGAGGCACAAGCCAGCGGUAAAAUCGCGGGGCUCAACCCCGCUCCGCCGUUGCAACUGUGUCGCUUGAGUGCGCGAAGGGUAGGCGGAAUGCGUGGUGUAGCGGUGAAAUGCAUAGAUAUCACGCAGAACUCCGAUCGCGAAGGCAGCCUACCGGCGCGCAACUGACGCUCAUGCACGAAAGCGUGGGUAUCGAACAGGAUUAGAUACCCCAGUAGUC